AACGAACGCUGGCGGCAGGCUUAACACAUGCAAGUCGAACGCAUCCUUCGGGGUGAGUGGCAGACGGGUGAGUAACGCGUGGGAACGUGCCCUUCAGUUCGGGAUAACCCAGGGAAACUUGGGCUAAUACCGGAUACGUGCGAGAGCAGAAAGAUUUAUCGCUGAAGGAUCGGCCCGCGUCUGAUUAGCUAGUUGGUGGGGUAAUGGCCCACCAAGGCGACGAUCAGUAGCUGGUCUGAGAGGAUGAUCAGCCACAUUGGGACUGAGACACGGCCCAAACUCCUACGGGAGGCAGCAGUGGGGAAUAUUGGACAAUGGGCGCAAGCCUGAUCCAGCCAUGCCGCGUGAGUGAUGAAGGCCUUAGGGUUGUAAAGCUCUUUCGUCCGGGACGAUAAUGACGGUACCGGAAGAAGAAGCCCCGGCUAACUUCGUGCCAGCCGCCGCGGUAAAAC
rnacentral:rRNA from 1 species